rnacentral:rRNA from 1 species
UACGUAGGGUGCAAGCGUUAAUCGGAAUUACUGGGCGUAAAGCGUGCGCAGGCGGUUUUGUAAGUCAGAUGUGAAAUCCCCGGGCUUAACCUGGGAACUGCGUUUGAAACUACAAGGCUAGAGUGUGACAGAGGGGGGUGGAAUUCCGACGUGUAGCAGUGAAAUGCGUAGAGAUGUGGAGGAACACCGAUGGCGAAGGCAGCCCCCUGGGUUAACACUGACGCUCAGGCACGAAGCGUGGGGAGCAAACAGG